GCCGAAUCAGGGAGUCGCCAUGAUUCUCCCGCUCCAGACAGACGCAGGAUAAGAUCCUCCCUGGACCAGUGGCCAUUUAUCCAGAACUAGACAACUUGGGAAAUGUUCACGUUCUGAAAUGAUGAAAGAUCCGAGACCCCUUAAUGAUAAAGCGUUCAUUCACGAAUGUAUUAAACAGCUCUAUAAGUUUCUUACAGAACAUGGUUAUGUAUAUAGUGUGUCCAUGAAGUCUCUCCAAGCCCCAUCAACCAAAGAUUUCCUAAAGAUUUUUGCCUUUCUGUAUGGCUUCCUAUGCCCGUCAUAUGAAAUUCCUGACACAAAAUUUGAAGAAGAGGUUCCAAGAAUUUUUAAAGACCUUGGGUAUCCCUUUGCACUGUCCAAGAGCUCCCUGUAUGCAGUGGGAGCCCCUCAUACCUGGCCUCACAUCGUGGCAGCCUUGGUAUGGCUGAUAGACUGCAUCAAGAUUUAUCAUGCCAUGAAAGAAAGCACAGCUUGUGGAGAAGAAACAGAAGAUGGGAUUAUACAUAAUAAGUUGUUUCUGGACUACACCAUCAAAUGCUAUGAGAAGUUCAUGAGUGGAGCUGACACCUUUGAAGAGGAGAAUGCAGAGCUGCAGUCGAAGCUGAAGGAUUUAUAUACGGUAGAUGCAUCCAAGCUAGAGUCAUUAGAGGAAGAAAACAGAGCACUCAAUGAGCAGAUUGCAAGAUUGGAGCAACAAAGAGAAAAAGAACCGAAUAGUCUAGAAUCAUUGAAAAAUUUGAAAGCUUCCUUGCAAUCAGAUGUAGAAAAGUAUAAAGCAUACCUGAGCAGUUUGGAGUCCCAUUCGUCCAUCCUAGAUGAGAAACUGAGGGGCCUGGAUGAAGAAAUUAGUAGACUAGAAUUGGAAUGUGAAGCAAUGAGACAGGAGAACGCUCGGCUACAGAAUAUUGUUGAUAACCAAAAGUACUCAGUUACAGACAUCGAAAGAAUAAACCAUGAAAAAAAUGAAUUGCAGCAGACCAUUAACAAAUUAACCAAAGACCUAGAGACUGGACAGCAACAAAUGUGGAGUGAGGAAUUAAAAUAUACCAGAGGCAAAGAGGCGAUUGAAGCACAAUUAGCUGACUACCACAAAUUGGCUCGAAAAUUAAAGCUUAUUCCGAAAGGUGCUGAGAAUUCCAAAGGUUAUGACUUCGAAAUUAAGUUUAAUCCUCUAGCUGGUGCCAAAUGCCUUGUCAAAUACAGGGCUCAAGUUUAUGUACCUCUGAGAGAGCUCUUGAAUGAAAGUGAGGAAGAAAUUAGCAAAGCUUUAAAUAAAAAGAUUGCGCUGGAGGACACGUUAGAGCAAAUGAACACCAUGAAGACGGAGAGCAGGAGAAAUGUGAGGAUGCUGAAGGAAGAGGUGCAAAAGCUGGACGUCCUUUACCAACAAACUGUGAAGGAGGCUGAGGAUCAAGAUGAGAAGUGUGCCAGGGAGCUUGAAUCCCUGGAGAAACACAAGCACCUACUGGAGAGUGCUGUGAACAAGGGCCUCAGCGAAGCCAUGGAUGAGCUAGAGGCCGUCCAGCGGGAAUACCAACUGGUUCUACAAAGCACAACCGAAGAAAGGGGAAAAGUGACACAUGACUUACUGAAUCUUUUGGAGAUGGUGGCUACACAUGUAGGGUCUUUGGAAAAACACCUUGAAGAACAGAUUGCUAAAGCUGACACAGAGUAUGAAGGAUGCAUGUCUGAAGACCUCUUGAAAAAUAUCAAAGAGAUUGCAGAGAAGUACAAGAGUCGCGCUGCUCUAUUUAAGACUCCUGGUGAAUGAAGAUAAAUUGACAGUGGCUGUCUUCUAUCUGUCAUAGACGUAUAUUAACUAAAAAUGCAAGAAAAAUUAUCACCAACUGCUGAAAAGCAAAACUUAAUCGGGAAAGAAAGAAGGUGGACGGUAGUGCAUACCUGUAAUCCAUCCUCUGGGCAAUUGAGAGAAGAGGAUCACGAGACCCUGUCAAAACUAAAGAGUAAAGGAACAUGGCAGAGAGACACUCAGAUGGAUGCGGCCUUCCUUGGCAGUAAACUGUCAGCUCUGAGGAUCUGGGCUUAAGGGGUGCUUGAUCUGCAAGCACAAAGUUCCACAUGCACAGCUAAAGAAAUAGAAAUGAACCCAUGACGAUGACAUCUACUGAUUGUACCGGCCUUCUAGAAUACUGAAACAGAUUCUAAAGGUGCAACCAAAAUGCCAGCCUGAAGAACUCUGAAAGGACAGAACACUAUCCUGUACUGUACAUCCCGUUUGUGAAAUCAGAUUUUUCUAUGGCACUGUGUCCCAGUGAAAAGGAUGCCUGUCAGUGGAAUCCAAGAGUAGAACCAAGAGCCAGUCUUGGUUUGGCAUAGAUUUCAACAACUAAGAUUUUGGUGCUUCGUACCCCCAAAUUUACUUAGAGGUCAUGCGCUGUGGGACAUAUUUCCUAUAUGCUGUAUGUUUUAUUAACUUCCUCUAUGCUGUGAGUAUGUUAAUAAAGAAGCUGCUACACCAACUCUUUGCUCUAUAGCAAGACAGAGUAAGCCUAUGCAGGAA